AGAUUGAACGCUGGCGGCAUGGCUAAAACAUGCAAGUCGAACGCGAAAGGGGGCAACCCCGAGUAGAGUGGCGAAAGGGCGAGUAAUGCGUUUCUAACGUACCCCGGGCUCACGGAUAGCUCGCCGAAAGGCGGAUUAAUACGUGAUGACACCGCGAGACUAAAUGGUCUUGCGUUCAAAGGCUUGCCGGCCCGGGAGCGGGGAACGUCCUAUCAGGUAGUUGGUGGGUAAUGGCCCACAAGCCUAAGACGGGUAGCGGGU
rnacentral:rRNA from 1 species